rnacentral:rRNA from 1 species
GACGAACGCUGGCGGCGUGCUUAACACAUGCAAGUCGAGCGGUAAGGCCCUUUCGGGGGUACGACGAGCGGCGAACGGGUGAGUAACACGUGGGUGACCUGCCCUCAGCUCUGGGAGUAAGCCUGGGAAACUAGGGUCUAAUACUGGAUAUGACUCCACGGUGCAUGUCGUGGGGUGGAAAGCCUUGUGCGGCUGAGGAUGGGCCCGCGGCCUAUCAGCUUGUUGGUGGGGUGANGGCCUACCAAGGCGACGACGGGUAGCCGGCCUGAGAGGGCGACCGGCCACACUGGGACUGAGACACGGCCCAGACUCCUACGGGAGGCAGCAGUGGGGAAUCUUGCGCAAUGGGCGAAAGCCUGACGCAGCGACGCCGCGU